GCUGUCAGCAUCUGGCACUGUGGUUCCGGCAUGAAAACAGUGGCCGGUGGGGCCUGGACCUACACUCACAGUGAAGUCUGCC
ensembl:miRNA Gm22426 predicted gene, 22426